AUGGGUGUGUGUGUGUGUGUUGUGUGGGGGUGCUCGGUGCCUCAGUGGCGGCCCACGAGUAAAGUCCCUGGCCAAGAGGCAGACGGAGGACUGGAGCGCUACCCCAUGGCAGGCCGACAGGAGGAUAAGAUGCGAUCGGAAGGAUGCGAAAAGACUGGAUGGGGAAUUGAGGGGGCUGGAGAGGCCCGAGCUGCCUGUCUGCCCCUGGGAGAAGGAGGAGACGUCCCCAAACUGCCCCUACCUCUCAAGCGCGGGGUUGGGGGGAGUGGUCGGCGCAGCCCUGCAGAGGAGACCGAGGUCCUGUAUGGAUCGUAAUGCUUGGGGAAUGAUUGACUUAAAAUAGUAACCAGUCUGAUGCUAGAGCCAACUCAGACCACCUCUCAAAAACUUACUGGUAAGUUUUCAGGGUGAGCAUUUACACUUUGAAAAAGGGGAAAUGCUACAAACGAAGCACUUAAUUUAU
rnacentral:lncRNA from 1 species